rnacentral:rRNA from 1 species
CAGAACGAACGCUGGCGGCGCGUCUUAAGCAUGCAAGUCGGACGGUAAGAGCAGCAAUGCUCCUAGAGUGGCGGACUGGUGAGUAACACGUGGGUAAUCUACCUAUAGGUUGGGGAUAGCCAUUAGAAAUAGUGGGUAAUACCGAAUACGAACGCAUCAUGGAAGGUGGUGUGGGGAAAGGAGCUAAGGCUCCGCCUAAGGAAGAGCCCGCGGCCCAUUAGCUUGUUGGUGAGGUAACGGCCCACCAAGGCAAUGAUGGGUAUCCGGCCUGAGAGGGUGAACGGACACAUUGGGACUGAGAUACGGCCCAAACUCCUACGGGAGGCAGCAGCUAAGAAUAUUCCGCAAUGGACGAAAGUCUGACGGAGCGACGCCGCGUGAAUGAAGAAGGCCGAAAGGUUGUAAAGUUCUUUUAUCCAUGAAGAAUAAGGUGAGUAGGGAAUGACUUACUGGUGACG